GACGUAGGGCGCAAGCGUUGUCCGGAUUUAUUGGGCGUAAAGAGCUCGUAGGCGGUCUGUUGCGUCGGCUGUGAAAACCCGAGGCUCAACCUCGGGCCUGCAGCCGAUACGGGCAGACUAGAGUUCGGCAGGGGAGACUGGAAUUCCUGGUGUAGCGGUGAAAUGCGCAGAUAUCAGGAGGAACACCGGUGGCGAAGGCGGGUCUCUGGGCCGAUACUGACACUGAGGGACGAAGGCCAGGGGAGCAAACGGG
rnacentral:rRNA from 1 species